UUAGUGCGGUGGGCGGGACUUGAACCCGCACCAAGAAAAUUCCCGACAGGAUCCUUAAUCCUGCGCGUCUGCCAAUUCCGCCACCACCGC
rnacentral:tRNA from 1 species